rnacentral:lncRNA from 1 species
CCUUCUCUUUAUCCAAAGUGUUUCAGAGUUCCAAGGAGUCUCAGGGAUUCCCGACAUUGCGUACACUCAGAAUACUAUUUAGAAUUAGAAUAGUAUAGUGUGGAAGAGCUAGCCCUCAUGCAUCUAAGUUCAGAGGGAGCUCAAGGGUCCCAAAGCAUGGCUUGCAAUAGAGGGGCAGAACUUAGAACUAGGAACAAGUGCAAAGUGAUUGGGGAACUAUAAAAAAUGGUGGUCAUGCCCAGCCACAAGUGCAGGUUGGCACACCCCUGACCGCUUGUUUAAGUUAAACAAGUUAGGAACAGACCUUGAUGGUCAAGGUCAAACCUAAAUCAAGAUAUUGAUUAGGACACUAUCAGACCUAAGUCAAGGCUCAAGCAGUUAAUAAGGGAUAGGGAAGUGGGAGUUGAUUGAGUCAGGGGUUCAAAGAACCCAGUUCAGAAUCAUAGACAACAAUGUCAUAGUGCUGCUAUGUCUUAAACCAUACUCAUAUACAAAAGGGUAAGGGGAAGGGGUUCACAUAAGAGAAGUAGUACAUAAAUUGCGUAAACAUAGUGAAAAAGACAUAAUAAAACUUCAGAAAGUAAACAUGUAGUGGAGGGGCAUUAUUUAAAAGAACAUACCAGUUGCAAAGUGAAAAAUAAACAAAACAGCAGAGACACCAUAACAAGUAAAACAGCAGGAGAAAAUGUAAAUUUCAGCAGAAUACUUGAAGGCUUGAAGAGAAUUCAAAGUUGUUUCAGAAAGCAAGUGUAGAAGUAUAGGGAAGAAGGGAGUAGAAAGCAUAAUGAUUAAUACUGUGAUUGAGAGUGUAGUUUAUAGUUUAGAGCUAAAGCGUGUAGAGCUUGUUUCGAGUGCAGAAGUUAUGUCUCAAGUGCAAGAGGGUAGCCCCUUUUAUAGUGCAUAAAACAAGUAAGAAAAAGAUAAGAGAAUAGUUUCCAAAUAAAUCACAUAAGGUUUCCCUUUGGUUAAUGGAUCUGAUUCAAACGAGCAAAACAAUUAAGGAAAGGUUUUAAUUGAAAAUAUUUUCCAAAGCAGUAUAACAGGGGCAAAUACACAGAAGCUUAUACAAGGAAAUAGUUUAGUAGUACACGGUUUGGGCAAAACAAGAAAAGACAAUCAAUCAACAGCCAGUAAAAUCAGGAUUUGAGUCUUGAUAUGAAUGAAUCCAACCAGGAAAGGUGAGAGGGGAUUAAUUUAAAGAAAAUCAAUAACACUGAAUCGAACCUUAGAAAAAGGAGUUCGGAAUCAAUCACAAGUAUGAAAAAGCCUUUUGUAAGAAAGGCUCUCAUAUAUAAAGCACUCAAACAACACAAACAAGAGAACAUCAUAUAGAAAAGAUUUAAAGUCAUACAGAGAGGGUUUAGUAGUCUCCUUCAGAGACAUAUGAGAAAACAAACAAAGAGAACAUCAGGUUCAAGGCAAAUAGAAUGUGGAAACUGAUUUGAAUCACAGGGAACACAAUUAAGCAUAGCUUAUUACUCAAAUAAGUUCAGAAGAGAAGAGGCGACAUAAGCUUAGAAAAAUAGCAGAGGAAGUAUGCUUAGAUUUUAAAAUGAAAGUCCAGUAAAGGAAAACAGAAAUUAAAAGCUCAGUAAAAUAAAGUAAAGGAACAUAUGAGAUAGACAUGAAAAAAUAUGCUUAUAGAAAUCAGUAGAAAGAAGAAGAGAAUAUAACACGACAAAUAUAAGAACAUAAGAGAAAAACUCAUAAAAACAUGGCAUAGACAAAUUCACACAAAGAAAAGAAAGAAGAGACAGAAGUCAUUUUGAGAUUUUCAGAAACCCUAAAUCGAAAGCAAACUAAAUUUAAAAAAAAAAAUUGGGGAAAAGGCUUAAAACGUUGAAGAUAGCACAGAUUCACCACAGAUCUAGGCAAAUAAAAGAGGAAGAAACCGCGAAUAGCUUUAAGGUUUCUCUGAAAUCCUAGAAAUGAGAAGGCUUGGAAGAAAGUCCGGUCUGGAGCGGAGAUGGACAUAGCUAGCCUCCUAAAGCUUGAAUACGUCAGAGCAAGCCCGGGGAAGCCAUAGAACCAUAGAUCUGCAGAUGAUCUGAACAGACGCCAUCGAGGUCAGACCUCGAAAUCUCGAACAUGCAUGGUUUAGGGGUGAAGGAAGGUGAGAUCAUGGUCGGAGAAGGGUAGGCGACUGCUAGGGUUUCGAGUGCUUGAGAGCAUUUUGAGGGAGAAGAGGUUUCAUGGC